rnacentral:rRNA from 1 species
GAAGGCCUACGGGGCGCAGCAGGAGGGAAUAUUGCUCAAUGGGGGAAACCCUGAAGCAGCAACGCCGCGUGGAGGAUGAAGGUUUUAGGAUUGUAAACUCCUUUUGUGAGAGAAGAUAAUGACGGUAUCUCACGAAUAAGCACCGGCUAACUCCGGGCCAGCAGCCGCGGUAAUACGGAGGGUGCAAGCGUUACUCGGAAUCACUGGGCGUAAAGAGUGCGCAGGCGGGCUUGGAAGUCAGAUGUGAAAUCCUGGAGCUUAACUACAGAACUGCAUUUGAAACUAUGA